rnacentral:rRNA from 1 species
GAUGAACGCUGGCGGCGUGCCUAAUACAUGCAAGUCGAGCGAACGGACGAGAAGCUUGCUUCUCUGAUGUUAGCGGCGGACGGGUGAGUAACACGUGGAUAACCUACCUAUAAGACUGGGAUAACUUCGGGAAACCGGAGCUAAUACCGGAUAAUAUUAUGAACCGCAUGGUUCAAAAGUGAAAGACGGUCUUGCUGUCACUUAUAGAUGGAUCCGGGCUGCAUUAGCUAGUUGGUAAGGUAACGGCUUACCAAGGCAACGAUGCAUAGCCGACCUGAGAGGGUGAUCGGCCACACUGGAACUGAGACACGGUCCAGAGUCCUACGGGAGGCAGCAGUAGGGAAUCUUCCGCAAAGGGCGAAAGCCUGACGGAGCAACGCCGCGUGAGUGAUGAAGGUCUUCGGAUCGUAAAACUCUGUUAUUAGGGAAGAACAUAUGUGUAAGUAACUGUGCACAUCUUGACGGUACCUAAUCAGAAAGCCACGGCUAACUACGUG